rnacentral:tRNA from 1 species
CCCAGGUUGUUCAACUGGUAAAGAAAUCUGCCUGCUAUGCAGGAGAUCAGGUUCAAUUCCUGGGUUGGGA